AGUCUUAAAUGCUGAGUGCUUGGUACUUAGCAGAACGGAAUGAGAGCUUACUUAUAUAGCUAAAGGAAGGAAUAGGAUUCGAUGUGGACUAGGAGAGUAACAAAAGACAAGUUAUAACAAAAGCUUAUGUUAGAGAAUCGCGAAAGAGGAAAAACCACAAAAACUGAUUUUUCAAGUAAUUUCCAAGAAUCGAAAUGCACAUGCAAAUGUUGAUAGUUGGCCUACCAACUGCUAAUCUAAUGACCCCACAAG
rnacentral:misc_RNA from 1 species